GACGAACGCUGGCGGCGUGCUUAACACAUGCAAGUCGAACGGAAAGGCCCUGCUUUUGUGGGGUGCUCGAGUGGCGAAAGGGUGAGUAACACGUGAGUAACCUGCCCUUGACUUUGGGAUAACUUCAGGAAACUGGGGCUAAUACCGGAUAUGAGCUCCUGCUGCAUGGUGGGGGUUGGAAAGUUUCGGCGGUUGGGGAUGGACUCGCGGCUUAUCAUCUUGUUGGUGGGGUAGUGGCUUACCAAGGCUUUGACGGGUAGCCGGCCUGAGAGGGUGACCGGCCACAUUGGGACUGAGAUACGGCCCAGACUCCUACGGGAGGCAGCAGUGGGGAAUAUUGCACAAUGGGCGGAAGCCUGAUGCAGCAACGCCGCGUGCGGGAUGACGGCCUUCGGGUUGUAAACCGCUUUCGCCUGUGACGAAGCGUGAGUGACGGUAAUGGGUAAAGAAGCACCGGCUAACUACGUG
rnacentral:rRNA from 1 species